rnacentral:lncRNA from 1 species
UUUUUUUUUUUUAAGAAUAGUUAAAUUUCAUAUUUGUGUGCGUGGUGCAGUUUGUCAUAUUUGUGAUGUUCGCAAUCUUCAAUGAAACUAAACAUCAGCAAUAACAAACCCAAACCUGUUCUUCAAGACAUGCUCAGUACUCUCUUCUCUCUCUCUCUCUCUCUCUAGCAUUGCAUUGUAUGAUUCUGAUUUUUAUAAGCUUUAUUUACUUCUGUGACAGAUUCUGAGGUCUGUUACCUCCCUCCAUUCUCAAUCCCCAAAUCAUCUUCCUCAUCUCAAAUCUCCUAAAUCUUGUUAUUUCACAAACCCAUCUCUUAAAGAUGCCAUUUUUUUUUGUUUUUUUUCUUUUUUUACUGAAUUUUAGCACUGUUAGCUGUUACCCUGUUAAAUUGCACUAGGUAGUUAGGUCUUGUUUGGAUAAACUUUUUAAUUUAGAGAUUAUCAUAUAAGUGUUUUAUCUAUAAGCUAUUUCUAUUACAAAAGACAAAAUAGAAUCAAACCAUUUUCAUAUAAGCUGUUUUCAUAAGCUAUCCUAAAGAGCUUAUGAAAAUAUGCUGAACACAACUUAUGAAUAUUAUAAGCUGUUUCAAUAAACUCUUUCAAAUAAUCUCACAAGAGAUAAACUCAAAUAAGUCAAUCGAAACAAGCCUAGUUGGUAGUUGAACAUCUAGCAUGGAGUUUCCUGUUGCAAAGUUUAGGGUGGUCUCAACAGACAUGAAUAACUCUUUAGCUUGUGAACAAUUAGUUGUGUGAAUACACACUUUGAUAGUUCUUUUUACUGUGGAGUUUGUACAAGUUUAGAAUGGAAUGAUGGAAUACUUUGUUAUCAUAUCCAAUCCAAGAUUUUUAACUGCUUACAUAGAUACUUUAAAUUUCUGUACAUUUGCUUUGCACCUUGAAAAUUCAUCUCACAGAAGUUAUGCUAGGCUUGAAUGUUGAAUGAGUUCUUUUACUGUCAAAUAGUAGUUGCUCAAGAAUAACGAGUCACAAUUUAUAGCACUUUAGCUCCUCUUUUGGUUAGUCAGAUUGAAAAUUUAGAAUGCACAUUGUGUGUAUAGAAUUAUGUACUUUAUCUACUGCUACUUUUGGGACAUGACAUUGCUACCAUCGAAACUCUUUUAAACUUCAAAGAUGCCAUGGUACUGUUUUUUUUUUUUUUUUGCUCAUGUAGGAUGUUUCACAGUGAUCUGUCAUGUGUGGAAGUUGUUACAAUGAGUGCCUUUAGGCUAUCCAACUUUAACAUUCUCUUCAACUGCAAUUAUCAAUGUUUUGAUGACUGUGUAAAGUAAAGUUAGCCUUAGGUUUGAAGCUUCAUUGAUUGAACAUGUACCUAAAAAUUUGGUCAAGUUCUUUGUAUGAUUGCUAACUUGUGAGUGGAAUUUGGCUUCUCCAUUUUGCAUAUUACGGCAAUCACUUCAGAUCAGAUAAGUCCCUGCAAAUUAAUAUCUUGCAAGGUCUAAAUAACUAGCUGGUGGAAAUGAAUGAAUUGUAUCCAUUCAUCAUCCCCUUCUUAUAGAUUUGGGAAUGAACAAUUUAUGUUUCAAAGUAAAAGCAUAGAGUUUCUCAUAUUGAUAUAUUUUUAAUAAUUAUUGUGAUAGAAGCUUUAAACACAUUUAACAUAGAAAAUAUGGAAGGCAGAGGAAUGAAAUCGAGAAUGGAUGGAUCCUCUCAUAUGUGUAAUUUACACAUUAGAGAGUAAAGUGUAAUCUUUCAUCCUAACACAUCAUCACACUUAUUCUCUCAUGUGUAAAUUACACAUGAGAGGAUCCAUUCCCAGUAAAAUCAUAUUCGGAAGGAAGAGUGUUAAAAAUGCUUAACAUCAUUGAAUUUGAAAGAUGUUAAGUUGUUCUUUGAUUCGUCUUAAGGAUGCAGGAAGGAGUAGAGCAGUGGGAGUGGAUCAUGAUUUUGGAGAAUGGUUGCAGGGAGGACAAAACAAUGGCGAGUGUGAAGAUUAUAGUUUAUGUUUGAAAGUCUGCAUAACCUACAAGCAGUUAAGUUACAACGUCUCUAUUGGCCAAUAGACUUACAGGAAAAGUGAGGAUCCAAGGAGCUUCAUUGGAGAGAGUGCUGUAUUCAGGGCCAGAGUUUGCGGCAGAGCAGCUAACAAAAAUACCAUUUUGAGUAGCAGCAAAAGCACCAAUUGCAAUUGGGUCUUCAAAGAAUGGAAGAGAACCUAAACCAAGUGAAAGUGACAGAACAUCUACACCAUCUUCAAUAGCUAUAUCCAUUGCAGCUAAGAUAGCACUUUCGGGGCAUUCUAUUUUAUCAUUGCACACUUUGUAUAUUGCUAAGUGAGCAUUAGGUGCCAUACCAGCUGCUACACCUUUAGCAUUACCAAAAACACUUGCAUCUUUUAUGAAUCUUCCUGCAGCCUCCGCAGCAGUGUGCGUUCCAUGGAAAAUGUUUUCAAAUGGAGGCUCUUGAAUCGUGGCGGCGGCAUUCCUUCGUCAUUGAAUGAUGGAUGAGAAGGGAAUAUUCCUGAGUCUAUGACUCCAAUUAUGACACCUUUUCCAAGGUUAUCAUCAUUCCACAACCCCUGUCCAUGCUUCAGACCCAAGAAAGUUGGACUGUGAGUUGUGUGUAAUGAAAGUGUCCUUUCAGGUCUUGCUAACAAAAUUCCAUCUUUCUCUUGAAGAGAUUUGGCUUCUUCUGGUGUCAGCUUCACAGCAAAUCCAGAGGCUACAUGGCGGUAUGAGAAAACCAUUCUGUCCUUGUGAGGAAAAUUUUGUGGAAGAAAUGAAUGGUACCAGCUAUGCAAAUCUUCUGAUUGAAAGGAAGCAACAUUUUCUGAUUUUUUGACAUGAACAAUGUAUGUCAUUAAGUUGUGAUCAUGCUCUUGAUUCUCCUCUGCAGCAAAUACUGAUGUAAUUUGGUUGAAGCUGCAGAGAAUGAAAAUGAGACUAACAAGCAAUGACAGUUGCAUAGUGUAGUUGGUUUUCAUCAUGAUUUGGGAUUUGAUAAAGAUAAAGAAAGAAUUGCUUGUGAUUUGCCUACUAUCAUGCAUGUGUAUAUAUAGAUAGAUAUAUCAUAUAUGCCACAGAAAACAAAAUGGCAAUUUGGUCAUAGUUUUAUUUUAAUUACUUACUAGUUACUACUUGGGAAAACUAGGGUAAAUGUGUAUGAUAUAAGACUUUUUUUGGUAAUUUGAAUAAAGCAACUGUCAUAGUAAUUCCCCUAUAUAUGUGAUGUUAAUUUGUAUGUA